rnacentral:misc_RNA from 1 species
GAUCAUUAACUAUUUGUGGGGAUAAGGCUUUAAAAAACCUUUUUCACCAUUAAUUCAUCCAUAAUGUGGGUCAAACCACAUGCGCAAUGUUUUUUUUUUUAAAGGGUUAACUUUCGGGUUACUCUUUAUUUAUUUAUAAUAUGGUUCUUUUUUGGGCUAUAUUAUUAAUUUUUUUAUACUAAAUUUACUGAAUAAAAACGAUUGACCAUAAUUUAUGGUUGUUUUAAAAAUAUAUUAAUUUAUAUAAAAACAACUUUCAGCAAUGGAUCUCUCGGCUUUCGUAUCGAUGAAGAACGCAGCAAAUCGCGAUAUUUAAUGUGAUCUGCCUAUAGUGAAUCAUCAAAUCUUUGAACGCAUCUUGCACCCUAUGGUAUUCCGUAGGGUACAUCUGUUUCAGUACCAUUCAAACAUCUCCCUCAAUCCUAUUUUUUUUAUAGAGAAUGAGAUCAGAGAUAAAUUAUAAAUGGUCCUGGGUAAGCUGUGCUAUAGUCUUUAUUGACUAUACCUGACGGAAUUCUAUCACUACCCGCCCUUAUAUCUUUAUGGUAUAAGCUCGGUGUUAGGAGGUAGGAGCAUAGUAAAGAACCUAACUUGCCUUUGUCAGCCUUCUUCAUUGAAGGACAUGAUGCGACUGUGGGACGCCCGAUUACCCUCGACUAAAAUAUCUGUUAAGGUUAAAUUCUUGACUUAAUCCUUUUGCAAAAAAGAAUUAUGAUAGAAUUGGCUUUAAUGUUUUUACAUCUAGAGUUAUAAAUCAUUUUGACUCCUGAUGGGAAAAAAAAAGCUCAAGAGUUCUUUACGAA